UACGGAGGAUCCAAGCGUUAUCCGGAUUCAUUGGGUUUAAAGGGUGCGUAGGCGGAUUAAUAAGUCAGUGGUGAAAUCCUACAGCUUAACUGUAGAACUGCCAUUGAUACUGUUAGUCUUGAGUACAUUUGAAGUGGGCGGAAUGUGUCAUGUAGCGGUGAAAUGCUUAGAUAUGACACAGAACUCCGAUAGCGAAGGCAGCUCACUAAACUGUAACUGACGCUGAGGCACGAAAGCGUGGGGAUCAAACAGGAUUAGAUACCCUGGUAGUCCACGCCGUAAACGAUGAUUACUCGAUGUGUGCGAUAUACUGUACGCGUCUGAGCGAAAGCAUUAAGUAAUCCACCUGGGGAGUACGAUCGCAAGAUUGAA
rnacentral:rRNA from 1 species